CAGGCUCUAGUUAGUUUAAAUGAUGAGGGGAUGGUAAGACAGGUGAACAAAUUGGCGGCCUUUAUUAAACCCUCCUCGCCUAACCAACAGACCCUGGCAAAGGUCCUGCAAAGAGUGGCGGGACUAGCUUCAGACUUACCCCAAUAACCAGGAAGAGCACGGGGAUACCGAAUCCCCAAACUCAGCGACCAAGAAACAAUUUGGCCGAGCCUAAAGUCCCAGCCUUGACCCUUCCAGGUUCACAGCAAGAGGACCAUCAGGGUAAGGUAGCAAUGGCAAAUGGAAAAGACACGGGCCCUGGGACAGAACCAAUACUGGAACCUGUAGAAAAGGAGAAACUUUUUUAUCCCACAUGUCAUUCUAGAACUGAAAGGAAAAUAAAUGAUUGGAGUAUU